rnacentral:pre_miRNA from 1 species
CUUCUGGAAGCUGGUUUCACAUGGUGGCUUAGAUUUUUCGAUCUCUGUAUCUAGCACCAUUUGAAAUCAGUGUUUUAGGAG